rnacentral:rRNA from 1 species
AUACGGAGGGUCCAAGCGUUAUCCGGAUUCAUUGGGUUUAAAGGGUCCGCAGGCGGGAAAAUAAGUCAGUGGUGAAAGCCUAUAGCUCAACUGUAGAACUGCCAUUGAUACUGUUUUUCUUGAGUAUAGAUGAAGUGGGCGGAAUAUAUCAUGUAGAGGUGAAAUGCAUAGAUAUGAUAUAGAACACCGAUUGCGAAGGCAGCUCACUAAACUAUUACUGACGCUCAGGGACGAAAGCGUGGGGAGCGAACAGGAUUAGAAACCCUAGUAGUCC